rnacentral:piRNA from 1 species
UAAGAUAAGGAAACGUUUUAAAAAAU